rnacentral:rRNA from 1 species
UACGAAGGGGGCUAGCGUUGUUCGGAAUUACUGGGCGUAAAGCGUGCGCAGGCGGCCAUCCAAGUCAGUGGUGAAAGCCCGGAGCUCAACUCCGGAAUUGCCAUUGAAACUGUUUGGCUCGAGUACGAGAGAGGUGAGUGGAAUUCCCAGUGUAGAGGUGAAAUUCGUAGAUAUUCGGAGGAACACCGAUGGCGAAGGCAAUCCCCCUGGACCUGUACUGACGCUCAUGCACG